AACGUCCCGAAAGGGACGCUAAUACCGCAUAACAUCCUGCUUUUGAACAAGUGGAGAUCAAAGCCGGGGAUCGCAAGACCUGGCGUUUGAAGAGGGGCCCGCGUCUGAUUAGCUAGUUGGUGAGGUAACGGCCCACCAAGGCGACGAUCAGUAUCCGGCCUGAGAGGGCGGACGGACACACUGGGACUGAGACACGGCCCAGACUCCUACGGGAGGCAGCAGUGGGGAAUUGUUCGCAAUGGGCGCAAGCCUGACGACGCAACGCCGCGUGGAGGAUGAAGGUCUUCGGAUUGUAAACUCCUGUUGCCCGGGACGAAAAGCUUCGACCUAACACGUCGAAGUCUGACGGUACCGGGUGAGGAAGCCCCGGCUAACUCUGUGCCAGCAGCCGCGGUAAUACAGAGGGGGCAAGCGUUGUUCGGAAUUACUGGGCGUAAAGGGCGCGUAGGCGGCCUUCUAAGUCAGACGUGAAAUCCCCGGGCUCAACCCGGGAACUGCGUCUG
rnacentral:rRNA from 1 species